rnacentral:rRNA from 1 species
AUGAACGCUGGCGGCGUGCCUAAUACAUGCAAGUCGAGCGAACGGACGAGAAGCUUGCUUCUCUGAUGUUAGCGGCGGACGGGUGAGUAACACGUGGAUAACCUACCUAUAAGACUGGGAUAACUUCGGGAAACCGGAGCUAAUACCGGAUAAUAUUUUGAACCGCAUGGUUCAAAAGUGAAAGACGGUCUUGCUGUCACUUAUAGAUGGAUCCGCGCUGCAUUAGCUAGUUGGUAAGGUAACGGCUUACCAAGGCAACGAUGCAUAGCCGACCUGAGAGGGUGAUCGGCCACACUGGAACUGAGACACGGUCCAGACUCCUACGGGAGGCAGCAGUAGGGAAUCUUCCGCAAUGGGCGAAAGCCUGACGGAGCAACGCCGCGUGAGUGAUGAAGGUCUUCGGAUCGUAAAACUCUGUUAUUAGGGAAGAACAUAUGUGUAAGUAACUGUGCACAUCUUAACGGUACCUAAUCAGAAAGCCACGGCUAACUACGUG